AUUUUUUUUUGUGUGCUAAUCUCUCUAUCUCCUUCUCCAAAUCUCGAAAGCGACGACGAGCUCCUCAGUCGUCACCACCACCACCACCACUACCUUCGAUUCGUCGUACUCUUCACCACCACUACGGUCACUGACGUGCUUGUCACCUUUACGAAUAUGAGGAGAUUCGACAUCUAGAGUCCGUCAACGAAUCUGUCAAGGUCUUUCCUUCACAAAUAUGGAUUUUGUAGCGGAACUCCGAGUGGAUAAGAAACUGAGAUUACUCUCCCUCUAGGUUGUGCUUCGUGUCAUUGUGUGGCGUUGGAUUUUGAAGGUCGUUGCUACACUUGGGGACGCAGAGGAAGGACGAAGAGUGCACGUUAUAGAAAGAGACUUGUCUGAGCAAGACAGAAUCGUUGGUGAAUUGCUUCAACCUGGUGGUUACUUGAAGCUAAUGGAGCUCGGACUUGAAGGUCUUGCAAAUUAUCUGAGGCUUGGAAGCAAGAUGAAGAAGAAGAUCAGUGAAAUCCAGAGAGGAGGAGGCUUGAAGCUUGAAGCUUGAAGAUUGAAGAUUGAAGAUUGAAGAUUGAACCUUAGGUUUAAUUUUUUUUUCUAGGUUUACUUUAUUUUCUUAUUCUGAUUUGUUUUUGUAAACCAGAAUUUCCUUGUAAACCAGAAAUUGAUUAAUAAAUAAAAUUUAAUUUUUAA